GGCCAUCGCUCAACGGAUAAAAGCUACCCCGGGGAUAACAGGCUUAUCUCCCCCAAGAGUCCACAUCGACGGGGAGGUUUGGCACCUCGAUGUCGGCUCAUCGCAUCCUGGGGCUGUAGUCGGUCCCAAGGGUUGGGCUGUUCGCCCAUUAAAGCGGUACGCGAGCUGGGUUCAGAACGUCGUGAGACAGUUCGGUCCCUAUCCGUCGUGGGCGUAGGAAAUUUGAGAGGAGCUGUCCUUAGUACGAGAGGACCGGGAUGGACGCACCGCUGGUGUACCAGUUGUUCUGCCAAGGGCAUAGCUGGGUAGCUAUGUGCGGAAGGGAUAAGUGCUGAAAGCAUCUAAGCAUGAAGCCCCCCUCAAGAUGAGAUUUCCCAUAGCGUAAGCUAGUAAGAUCCCUGAAAGAUGAUCAGGUUGAUAGGUUCGAGGUGGAAGCAUGGUGACAUGUGGAGCUGACGAAUACUAAUAGAUCGAGGACUUAACCAUAUAA
rnacentral:rRNA from 1 species